rnacentral:rRNA from 1 species
UACGCAGGGGGCUAGCGUUGUUCGGAAUUACUGGGCGUAAAGCGCGCGCAGGCGGCUAUCCAAGUCAGUGGUGAAAGCCCGGAGCUCAACUCCGGAACUGCCAUUGAAACUGUUUAGCUUGAGGACGAGAGAGGUGAGUGGAAUUCCCAGUGUAGAGGUGAAAUUCGUAGAUAUUGGGAAGAACACCGGUGGCGAAGGCGGCUCACUGGCUCGUAUCUGACGCUCAGGCGCGAUAGCGUGGGGAUCAAACAGG